GGCUAGGUAACAUAAUGGAAAUGUAUCGGACUGCAAAUCCUGUAAUGACGGUUCGACUCCGUCCUUGGCCUACACCUUCAUGACCAGAAAUAACUGGAACAAAGGGAAAGC
rnacentral:tRNA from 2 species